AUGUUAUACUUCAACCACAUGUAUUUUAAAACUGUAAUGAUACAGAGAAGAUUAGCAUGGCCCCUGACCAAGUAUGAUACACAAAUUCAUGAAAUGUUCCAUAUUUUU